UAUAAGUUUAAAUCUUUGCACUUCCGCCUUAAUAGUUUUCCAUGUUCCAAACUUUCUUUAUACCAUUUAAAACUGUAAAUUUAUCAUUACAUCAAUCUUGUUUACUUUUCGGUGCUGUCGGAUUAAAGAAUUACAGCAGUUCAAUACAAUUUUGUAAGGAUAAACAUCUUGCGGGUUUGUCUGACGAAAGAUUAAAGAAGGCUCGUCUUUUUGCGCUUAGUAUUACUGGUUUUUGUUUAGUUAUUUACUUGUAUACGUUUCGAGCGUUAAAGCAAGAAACAUUUUUGGAAAUGGACGAGGAGACCUUUAUGAAAUUAAAAAAAGAAAGAGAUCUUAAGCUACUUGAAGAAGGUCGAACCCGUUAGGAUGUUUUUUUUCAAAUUUUAG